AUCCAGUUGAUGAGUCUCAAAUAGGGUGAAACGCGCAUCCUGGAU
rfam:Trichobilharzia regenti genome assembly, scaffold: TRE_scaffold0010175